rnacentral:rRNA from 1 species
UACGUAGGGUGCAAGCGUUAAUCGGAAUUACUGGGCGUAAAGCGUGCGCAGGCGGUUUUGUAAGUCUGUCGUGAAAGCCCCGGGCUCAACCUGGGAAUUGCGCUGGAGACUGCAAGGCUAGAAUCUGGCAGAGGGGGGUAGAAUUCCACGUGUAGCAGUGAAAUGCGUAGAGAUGUGGAGGAACACCGAUGGCGAAGGCAGCCCCCUGGGUCAAGAUUGACGCUCAUGCACGAAAGCGUGGGGAGCAAACAGG